GCCAUUAACUGUGCCUAGUGCAGAGACGAGGUAGCCAUUAACUGUGCCUAGUGCAGAGACGAGGUAGCCAUUAACUGUGCCUAGUGCAGAGACGAGGUAGCCAUUAACUGUGCCUAGUGCAGAGACGAGGUAGCCAUUAACUGUGCCUAGUGCAGAGACGAGGUAGCCAUUAACUGUGCCUAGUGCAGAGACGAGGUAGCCAUUAACUGUGCCUAGUGCAGAGACGAGGUAGCCAUUAACUGUGCCUAGUGCAGAGACGAGGUAGCCAUUAACUGUGCCUAGUGCAGAGACGAGGUAGCCAUUAACUGUGCCUAGUGCAGAGACGAGGUAGCCAUUAACUGUGCCUAGUGCAGAGACGAGGUAGCCAUUAACUGUGCCUAGUGCAGAGACGAGGUAGCCAUUAACUGUGCCUAGUGCAGAGACGAGGUAGCCAUUAACUG